GUGAAGGUCCGGAAGGAAUGCCUGCUCACCUCUGCUACCCUGGGUCUGUUCCCUGUCUAGAGAAAUUUUCCUUUCCUUCAAGUCCCAAAAUGGAAACGAUCAGUGCUCUACAAUAAGUGAAUGGUUAAACAAACGUGGUACAUCCAUCCCAUGAAUACUACUCUACAGUAAAAGGAAAGGAACUCUUGAUAUACCCAACAACUUGGAUGGAUCUCAAGGUCAUUAUACUGAUUUUUUAAAAAGCCAGUCUCCAAAGGUCACAAGGUGUUGGUCCUGAGGUUCAAAACAGAUAAGGAGUUUGGGCAAAGCCCACAGCUAUACAACGUAUAUGGAUUUCAAAAGCUAUAGACUAUGGUGGCCAAGAUACGGUAGCUGAAUUGAAGAAAGGGAAUGUAAUUAUAUUUAAUUUUGGAGAUUGAAACUGCACCCUCAGCAGUAGAAGUGCCUGGUCCUAACCACUGAACCACCAGGGAAUCCCCCAUUCAUUGCUUUUGUUUGUCAGAUGCUAAUGACUCCAGAGGAGAUUUAGUCAGUAGAUUUCUCAAGUAUUCUUUCAAAAAAUAAAACAGCAAGUAAUUUUAAAACUAAUAACCAUAAAACUUCAGUAAUAAGA
ensembl:lncRNA